GACGAACGCUGGCGGCGUGCUUAACACAUGCAAGUCGAACGGAGCGAAUGAAAGCUUGCUUUUAUGAGCUUAGUGGCAAACGGGUGAGUAACACGUAGACAACCUGCCGACAGGAUGGGGACAACAUUCCGAAAGGAAUGCUAAUACCGAAUGAAGCGGAGGAGAGGCAUCUCUCCUCCGUGAAAGAUGGCCUCUAUUUAUAAGCUAUCACCUGUCGAUGGGUCUGCGUCUGAUUAGCUAGUUGGUGAGGUAACGGCUCACCAAGGCGACGAUCAGUAGCCGGUCUGAGAGGAUGAACGGCCACAUUGGGACUGAGACACGGCCCAGACUCCUACGGGAGGCAGCAGUGGGGAAUCUUCCGCAAUGGGCGCAAGCCUGACGGAGCAACGCCGGUGAGUGAA
rnacentral:rRNA from 1 species